UUCAAAGAGUCGGAAAUUGUUGAAGAAAAUGAUAUAGUAAAUCCCGUUGCUAUGGUAACAAUGACGUUUCAAUAUGACCGACAUUUUAGCUUUUAACUGCAUUUUACUCGAUAAAACGCUUGGUUACCCCCAUUUUUUAUUGCACAAAACAUGUCCAUUUAACUAAAUGGAUUAUCUAAACAAAUAUUAAAAAAUUCUGUACAGCCAAUGAAUGGACAAUUUGCAUUAUAACUAAAUUUUAGAACCCACUCGGCCACAGUAUUUCACUGGUCUAUAUCCCAUAGUAUAUUAAUUCGUCAAGUGGUGUGGGCUUUGAAGUGUAGGGAAAUUGCAGGGUAAAGAAAUGUUAGCACUCCUCUAUACAGUGUGUAUAAAAAAACUGAACCCAUUCAAAUUAGCUAUAACGUAACGUAUUGUAGUAAUUUGACAGCUCUAAUUGCUUUGAAUUAAUGGUUUGGGUAAGAGAACAAGGUCUUGUACUCAGGCCAAAAAAAAAUAUGUGGGUUUCCGGUUUCCCGACCCUACCUAGCUUUUGGACGUCGAAAUCCCGACCCUAAACUUUUUUUAUUGGAUCAUGCUUGUAAGUGUUUCCACUUAGAGGAAAAAGUUUGUGGAAAAUGGCAAUAUUAGGCAAUAUUAGGGAAAUUUAAAUUUGGAAGUGGAAGCACUAACUAAACAAAAUGGCGUCCGCUUGUUCGGAAAAUUAAAAAAAAAAGUUUAAAAAAAAGAAGUUAAAACCGACCUACCCUACCUAAGUUUUUAUAAGAAGAAACCGGAAACCCACAUAUUUUUUUUGGCCUCAUGGGACAAAACUUAAAGAAUUAAAAAUUAGAAAAUUUAAUAGAAAUACAGUAUUUUAUUAAAAACUGAAAUUUUUUUAUUCAAUAUAAAACUCAAAAAUACAGCUGCAUAUUCAUACAAUACUUACUCAAAUACAUACACACUCAACACUGACACACACGUCCGAGAUACAUAUACCGGGUGUCUCAAAAAAAAGUAUCGGUGUUUGAUUUGUUAUAAAAAAACAGGACAAGGAGUUUCAAUCAAAUAGACUUCACUGAAUUCAGAAAGGCCUAACUUAAAUUAUGAG